AUUGAACGCUGGCGGCAUGCCUUACACAUGCAAGUCGAACGGAAACGGGCCUUCGGGUGCCGACGAGUGGCGAACGGGUGAGUAAUACAUCGGAACGUGUCCGAUCGUGGGGGAUAACGAGGCGAAAGCUUUGCUAAUACCGAAUACGAUCUACGGAUGAAAGCAGGGGACCGCAAGGCCUUGCGCGGACGGAGCGGCCGAUGGCAGAUUAGGUAGUUGGUGGGAUAAAAGCUUACCAAGCCGACGAUCUGUAGCUGGUCUGAGAGGAUGAUCAGCCACACUGGGACUGAGACACGGCCCAGACUCCUACGGGAGGCAGCAGUGGGGAAUUUUGGACAAUGGGCGCAAGCCUGAUCCAGCCAUGCCGCGUGCAGGAUGAAGGCCUUCGGGUUGUAAACUGCUUUUGUACGGAACGAAAAGCCUUCUUUUAAUACAGGAGGGUCAUGACGGUACCGUAAGAAUAAGCACCGGCUAACUACGUG
rnacentral:rRNA from 1 species